UGUUGACGAGCCGCAUUUAAAUAAGUUUCCGUGGUUUUCUGGGCCAGUCUAAAAUUGGACCCGCCUAACCGCAGCAUAACCACCGCAGCAUGACAGCUUGCGUGUGGUGGUAGUAGUAGUGUGAUAGGCAAUAGUGGUUUCGCAGCGCGGUGUCACGAACACUAAUGCAAAUCUACUGGUUGAAAAUAUGCCCAUUUGAUUUUGCUGCGAACAGCUGAUCUUUGUUUACUAUUUUCAACCAGUAACUCAGGUGGUGUUCGUGUAAUGCAGCGUGUACGUACACGCAACACCACUAAAAGCAGAAACCACUAUGAGCGAGAAGGUAAAUAAAAACCAUAUGAUGAUGAUGGGAAUGACGAUGAUUAUGACGGUAGGCGCGGUAGGCAGAUAUUUCGCCAUUGCAGUAAAAGAUGAGGCAAAUUAGUUGAGUUGUGCAAAGGCGCGUUAUUUUAUUGAAAUUGUAGUGAAUUCGGGGCGAGAACACUUCCAAAAAUCGGUUGUAAUUAUCUGCAAUACGCUGUUGCCAAUCCGAUCCGUGACAGAUACCUGGGAAUCACCGGUAAUAGGAAUAGGAAAGGUGUCCACAUUCCGGCGACAUUCGCUAUUCACACUCAAUCAAGUUAGGGUAACUGCACCCAUUAUCAUCCCAAGAUAGAAUUGGAAACCACUUCUUGUGAGUAUUUGUACUAGAAUAGAUUAAGAAUGUUAAUUGAAUGAUUAAAUAAAUUGCAGUUUUAAGCGUUGCUACAAAAUCUGAGCCGCUCUAAAAAUUUUGGUUUCCCUUCGGGAACAAAUGUGUUCAAAAAUUUUAUAAAUUUUACAAAAAGUUCUAUAAAUUUCAGAAAACUUAUUCAAUCUCGCUCAAAAUUUUACCAAUGGAGCUUUGAUAUAUGAUGCAUGAUUGAUCAAAAUUUCAGCGUAUUUGAUUGAAGUAUAAAAAAAUUAUGAUCAAUUUAAUAAAAAAUUAAUUUGACCAAAAAAUUGCUGUACGGACAAUUGUUUGAUACACUGUACUUGUUAGAAUCCCAAAAUGGUCGCCAUAAUGGCCGACUUUGGCUCCUACUCACGAUUUCGAGGGCACAAAUAUCUUCGUAAACAAAACCAACGCACCUGAGCUUCUUAUUUUAAAGUUAUUACAAGUGAGAAAGAACAGAAUAAUAAAAUGCUUUGUUAUAUAAAACUUGCUUCUUGAGAUUUGUACGUUUGAAGUUUUGAUGCGCUGUUGAAGCGGAAUGUCAAGACGUUUGUCCUUAAUGACCUGCAUAAAAUGUAGGAGAGUUAUACAAAAUCAAAAUACAAUAUACAAGAAAAUACAAUAAUAACGCUAGCUGGCAACACGCGCCCAGGAGUUGCUUAUAAGGAUGUGCAGGGAUUCUCAAACUUUUCCAGCUAGCGAUCCAUUUUUGUUGGUAAUUCAAUUUGGCGAAUUACCAGCACGUAUUUCCAUAAAAUACGUCACUUAAGAACAUUUUUUAUGAACUUCUGAAUAAAUUGGAAAUGAAGUCAAACAUUGUGAUGCAGGGUCAUUAGGCCGAAGGCCAUUAGGCCGAAUGGGCAUCAGGAUGAAUUGCAAUUCAGCAAUUAUAAAACUGGAAACAGAUUUGCCAAAAACUAUUUUAACAAUGAAACUAGAAAGAAUAGCCUAUGUUUAAAAGGAGGAAAAAAUAUUGAACAUCAGCAAUUUGAGCGUCGAAACCUAUUUUGGCAAUGAUACUAGAAAGAAAUACCUAUGUUCAAUAGAAGGAAAAAUUCAUGCUGGGGGUGACGUUUUAAGUUCCCGGUCGGUCCAGGAACUUUUUAUAAAGGAAAUUUCCUUGAUUAUGAUGUACCUCGUGUCCGCCACAUGAUAUACACAUGCAACGUGGUCAUUGGCAGCGUAAACUCUCAGUUAAGAACUGUGGAAGAGCUCUAGCUGAGCCGAUGAGUUUUUAAUAUUUUUUAAGUAUAAACGCUUUAUUAUUUUUAUCCCCCCCCGUCGACCAGCCAAAGAGUGGUGCGACAAAAAGUGAAAUAUUUUUUUUUUGUUUUUAUUUAUGUGUAUUUUAACUUAGAUGCUAAUUCUACACUUAAAGUGAAAUAAGUAUUUGUAACGGCCUAAGUUAAAUUAGAUAUUUAUAACGAUAUCGACCCAUGGUUUGAGAAACCCUGGGGUAGAGUGAAGGGAGGUAGCAAAGGGAAUCCCAAGGGGUUUCAGUGGAGUACCAAGAGAUCUUAGGAGCAUUUAAGGGGUUAUACAUGUUGAAGUGUUAUAACAAUUUCUAUAAAAAGUGUUUUUGUGUUUUAUUUAGAGAAGCACGCCGUCACUAUGAUUACAGUCCAACGGCUUAACUGAUAGCGCAAACCCAAAACAAAAACAUUACUAGAGGACCUUGUGAUGUCCUCGAACGAUCGGAAUAACAAAAAAGGUUUUAUUUCUCAAACGGGAACGAUUUUUCUCAAAAAAGUCGCCGUUUCAGCAAAAAAAAAAAGAAUAAAAUAAAUCACAUUGAUAUGAUUUCUUCUAGAGAAAAAUAUUGAUCCUUCAAGGACACGACACAUAAACAGCGAACACUCAGAAAAAAACGGUUGAGAUCUGAUUCCGAGAUAAUGGCGUUUAAUCGCGCUGGUUAUAAUCACACUCAUAAGGGAGCGAGGCGCAAAAUGCUAUAUCUUUGCUUCUACUGCUUGGAUCUCUAUGAAAACUGACAGAGCAUUCUUAAGAACCCAUACUUAAAGAUAAGAGAAUAAAAAAAACAUUUCACUAAGGGUUUCACUGGAAUCUAGGGAAUCUCAGGGUCACUUCAGGAACGCUUCAAGGGCUCUUAGGGAAAUUCUAGACAAUU